GGCCAAUGAAUAGGCAGGGAGACAGAGGUGGGACUUUAGAUUUCCUGGACCACAAGGAGGUUUUAGAACCGCCAAGCCAGGAAAGGAGAGCAGGAAGACAGGAGAGCUGUGGAAGACAGAGAACCAGCCAUGAAAAUACACGGCCAUGUCAUUGUUUCCAAUGUUCAAGACCUUAAUUUGAACUUGAUUUCCGCUGGGGAAGACUGGAAGAGUUUUCUGAGAAAAAGAAAGAAGAGAUCCACAGUGAGGACUCUAGAGUAGAUGGUCACCGUCACCUCGGCUCUGGAGACAUUCUCCUCUGCACUGUAGAGCUCAUCCGGAGGCGCGUGCCAAACAUCUGACUCAGCCCGCUGGUCACUCUGCACGUCUUUACUCCAGGAAUUCCUAUUGCACAUGGGAGAGUCCCCCACUCCCCUCUAAUCCUCCCAGUCCAGAGAAGGACGCUGCUGGGCCCAGGAGAACACUCACAUCGAUUUCCACCUGCACAAUUGCAGCCACCACAAAGGCCAUGGAUGCCAGGAACAUCCCAACGGUCAUCUUCUUCAGGGAGCUGAUGCAGAUGAGAGGAAAGUGAGCCCCAGCCUGUGUCACCCAGAUGAACCAAGAUAAGCCCUAAAGGAGAAUCCUCCUUACUUCUCUCCCUUCGGCUUCCCUGCAAGGACGGCUGUACUGGAAGCCGCUACUGGUGUUUCUAUUGUUUUAGGAUUUUAUGUGUGCAUGCCAAUGUGAGCAUGUGCACACAUGCGUGUAAGGGUGCUCUCGGAGGCCAGAAAAAGAUGUCAGACCCCUGGGAGCUGGAGUCACAGGCGUUUGUGAGCUGCUCUGUGUAGAUGCUGGGAUGGAUACGCUGGUCCAUGUGCUUGAGAACCAAGCAUUCCUAACCGUGGAGCCACCACUGAGUCCCUUUCUGUUGCUAUUCAUGGCCAGACUAGUGAGCGCAAUAAAAUGCCUAUUCAUAUUUUCACACAGUUUCUUCAAGUCCUAUGAUCACAGCUAAUUUUUUUCAGGCUUCCAUGAAUAGCAUUUUUAUUUAUUUUAAAGGGCAUUUGGGGAGACAUUGCAUACAGACAUCUCUAUUUAAAGCUCUCUCUCUGUCUGUCUCUUUCUCUCUGUGUGUGUAUGUGUAUGCGCAUGUGCACAUGUGUAUGGAUAUGUACAGGCCCAUGUGUGCACAUGAGGAGGCCAUAGGACGUCAGAUGUCUUCUGUCCCUGUCUUUACUUUCAUCACACAGGAUUUCUCAUUGAAUCUGUAGCUCAUCAUGCUUGGCUAAGAUGGCCAGCCAACAGCUCCAGGGAUCCACCUGUCUCUGCACACUGCCAUGCCUGACAUUUUACAUGGGUCCUAGGGAUCUAAACUUGGGUCUUAAUGCUUGCACAGCAAGCACUCUUACCCAGGGAGGUAUCUCCCAUCCCACAAUAUCUCUUUAUUCCUUUGAAAACUUCAUCUGCAGCCAAGCCUGGUAGCACAGGCUUAUAAUCCCAUCUCCAUGGGUGGCUUGCAAGUUCAACGUCUAACUAGGCUGCAGAGUGAGUUUAAGGCCAGCCUUGUCUCAAAAUAGGUAGGAAAAAAGAGGGUUGGUGUUCUAUCUCAGUAGAAGAAUAUUUGUCUAGCAUGUGUGAAAUCCCCUAGGUUCAAUUGCCUGUACUGCAAAAAUAAAUAAUGUCCCAUCACCUUGGCGGGA